rnacentral:rRNA from 1 species
AGGACGAACGCUGGCGGCGUGCUUAACACAUGCAAGUCACGGGGGCUCGCAAGAGCAACCGGCGAACGGGUGCGUAACACGUGAGCAAUCUGCCGAUUUCUGGGGGAUAGCCGGCCCAACGGCCGGGUAAUACCGCAUACGUUCUCGAGGGGGAGUCCCCUUGGGAAGAAACCUCCGGGGGAAAUCGAGGAGCUCGCGGCCUAUCAGCUAGUUGGCGGUGUAAUGGACCACCAAGGCUAUGACGGGUAGC